AACGAACGCUGGCGGCAUGCCUAACACAUGCAAGUCGAACGAGACCUUCGGGUCUAGUGGCGCACGGGUGCGUAACGCGUGGGAAUCUGCCCUUAGGUACGGAAUAACUCAGGGAAACUUGAGCUAAUACCGUAUAAUGACUUCGGUCCAAAGAUUUAUCGCCUAAGGAUGAGCCCGCGUCGGAUUAGCUAGUUGGUGAGGUAAAAGCUCACCAAGGCGACGAUCCGUAGCUGGCUGAGAGGAUGAUCAGCCACACUGGGACUGAGACACGGCCCA
rnacentral:rRNA from 1 species